CAUGUAUAUAAAACGAAAAUAAAUGAACAAGUAGAAGCAAUUCGAUGCAUGAAUUUUUUACCAAAUUAUUGAAGUUCUGAUAGGGUAUGGAUUGAUAUAAACUUAUCAUCAUUUUUCUUUUUCACUUACUCCCACAUAUUACAUUGUAUGAGAGAAAGUCAAAUUGCAAUUGAAAUUAAGUAUUUCUGAAAAAGAAAAAGUAGGAUUUUGUAUACACUGUUGGCAAAAGAACGAAAUUGCACAAAUGGUGCACUCGCUGCGGAAUAUAUAUGCUAGAUUGUUAAAAUCUUGCGGGAAGGUCUCCUAAAAGGAGAGCCUUUAAUAAGAAAUUAUUCUUUUGGUAGUCAGCUAUUAAAAAUAUUAAAUAAUGACGGAGAAUCGGGGGAAUUUUUCAACUCCAACGAAUCAAAGUUCUAGCAGACCAUUUAAUUUUCAACAUUUGGAUUUUGGAUCUAUUAAUGAUGUUCAAAAUGAAAU